rnacentral:rRNA from 1 species
UACGAAGGGGGCUAGCGUUGCUCGGAAUCGCUGGGCGUAAAGGGUGCGUAGGCGGGUCUUUAAGUCAGGGGUGAAAUCCUGGAGCUCAACUCCAGAACUGCCUUUGAUACUGAGGAUCUUGAGUUCGGGAGAGGUGAGUGGAACUGCGAGUGUAGAGGUGAAAUUCGUAGAUAUUCGCAAGAACACCAGUGGCGAAGGCGGGUAGCUGGGCCGACACUGACGCUGAUGCGCGAAAGCCAGGGGAGCGAACAGG